rnacentral:rRNA from 1 species
UACGGAGGAUGCGAGCGUUAUCCGGAUUUAUUGGGUUUAAAGGGUGCGUAGGCGGGCUUUUAAGUCAGCGGUAAAAAUUCGGGGCUCAACCCCGUCCGGCCGUUGAAACUGGGGGUCUUGAGUGGGCGAGAAGAAGGCGGAAUGCGUGGUGUAGCGGUGAAAUGCAUAGAUAUCACGCAGAACCCCGAUUGCGAAGGCAGCCUUCCGGCGCCCUACUGACACUGAGGCACGAAAGUGCGGGGAUCGAACAGG